GGGGAAUCUUGCACAAUGGGGGCAACCCUGAUGCAGCGACGCCGCGUGAGCGAUGAAGCCCUUCGGGGCGUAAAGCUCUUUCGACAGGAACGAUAAUGACGGUACCUGGAGAAGAAGCUGCGGCUAACUACGUGCCAGCAGCCGCGGUAAUACGUAGGCAGCGAGCGUUGUUCGGAGUUACUGGGCGUAAAGAGUGCGUAGGCGGCGAGCCAAGUUUGGUGUGAAAUCUCCCGGCUUAACCGGGAGGGUGCGCCGAAAACUGGUUGGCUGGAGUAUGGGAGAGGAAAGCGGAAUUCCUGGUGUGGCGGUGAAAUGCGUAGAUAUCAGGAGGAACACCUGCGGUGUAGACAGCUUUCUGGACCAAAACUGACGCUGAGGCACGAAAGCGUGGGUAGCAAACA
rnacentral:rRNA from 1 species